GACGAACGCUGGCGGCGUGCUUAACACAUGCAAGUCGAACGCUGAAGCCCGCUUGCGGGUGGAUGAGUGGCGAACGGGUGAGUAACACGUGAGUAACCUGCCCUUCACUUUGGGAUAACCUUCGGAAACGGGGGCUAAUACUGGAUAUGACUCAUGGCCGCAUGGUUGUGGGUGGAAAGAUUCUUUGGUGGGGGAUGGGCUCGCGGCCUAUCAGCUUGUUGGUGGGGUGAUGGCCUACCAAGGCGACGACGGGUAGCCGGCCUGAGAGGGCGACCGGCCACACUGGGACUGAGACACGGCCCAGACUCCUACGGGAGGCAGCAGUGGGGAAUAUUGCACAAUGGGCGCAAGCCUGAUGCAGCGACGCCGCGUGGGGGAUGACGGCCUCGGUUGUAAC
rnacentral:rRNA from 1 species